UUGGUUUGGUCUUUUUCAUUUCGUCCGAUACUUUUGAUUAUUCCUGUUAUAAUAUCUUUUAAUGUACUGCUUCAACUCAGUGAUAUUGUUUGCCUUAAAUUACCGGAGAAUAAAGGCUUUUUCCCUGGAGAAGAAUCCCAAUUUGAAAAUAAAAUGGCUUAAAAUUAUUCCCAAAAAGACAACUUUUUUCCCAAACAUUGCAGUCUCAGUGGUAA
rnacentral:lncRNA from 1 species